GGGAUGUAUUAGGAACUUCUAAGCCGGAAAACAAAUGUAUUUGAAAUGAUAAUUUAUUUCUGCCUGAACCUAGACUGUUUAGGAAUCUGUUCCUGGAAUCCUCAGGGUAUACAGAUUUCUUCUCAAAUCAGAGCUGUAAAAAGUACCCAUUCACCAGUUGGGAGACACCUUUCUUCCACUUCUUAUUGGAAGCCCUGGUGGUCAUGUUGAUCCUCUGCUAUGUUUUUCUCCCAAAGCCAAAUAAUCCUCUUUACAAACUUGGGGUUUCAUGGACAUCCUCAUCACCCUUAGGUGAUUGCAUACUCGGAACAUCGUUACCGUAUCUUUGGGGAAACCAUCGAUAUUGCAGUGGGUAAUUGUCUGGAUCGUUUCGCUCGAGUGCUGAAGGUAAGCCAGUGGGGCUGCAGAGAACAUAAAAUGUGGGUGAAUUUUUGGGAAGCCAUGGAGGUGGAGGGAGGAAAUAGUAAAUAAGCUUCUUAUGCUUCCUGCAUAUCUGAUUUCAUCCUCUUCCGUUCCCUCCUUCCUUAUUUUUUUGUUCUGCUAGAUUUCUAAUGACCCAAGUCCAGGAUACAACAUUGAACAGAUGGCAAAGCGAGGCAAGAAGCUAGUUGAGCUGCCAUACACUGUAAAGGGGAUGGACGUCUCAUUCUCAGGGAUCCUGUCUUUCAUUGAGGAUGUAGCCCAUCGGAUGCUGGCCACAGGCGAGUGUACUCCUGAGGAUCUGUGUUUCUCCCUGCAGGUAAUGCAGUAACAAGCUGGGACAGAAAGUUGGGGCUGGAGGAGGUUUUAUAUUGUAGAGCAGAACUAAUCUGGGAUGCCCUCUAAUAUUUUCUCCUUAUCUGUCCCCGACAGGAAACUGUGUUUGCGAUGCUGGUAGAGGUCACAGAGCGAGCCAUGGCACAUUGUGGCUCCCAGGAGGCCCUCAUUGUGGGAGGAGUGGGGUGUAUGUAUCAUUGAAGUGCUCCUCUUUCCUGUUCUUAGCACGGUGUGUCUUCCUCCUGAUACUCUAAAUCAUUAAGGGUUUGGAGUAGGCUUCCCAAUCCUUGCCCCGGUCCCCUAGUCAUUGUUCUGAGUAAGUGCACAUGACGUGUUCUGCUGGACCAUGAAGAGAUAGCUAAAACUAAGCUAAUCCUGUUCCCUACCUCUUUGUAGGUAAUGUGAGGCUACAGGAGAUGAUGGCAACAAUGUGCCAGGAACGUGGAGCCCGGCUUUUUGCUACAGAUGAGAGAUUCUGUAUUGACAAUGGAGCCAUGAUAGCCCAGGCUGGCUGGGAGAUGUUUCGGGCCGGACACAGGACCCCACUCAGUGAUUCUGGGGUUACACAGAGGUAUCGGACAGAUGAAGUAGAGGUGACCUGGAGGGACUAAUAAGAUUAACAGAAUCAGAGUAGCUAGUUCCUUAACUGGAACCCAAAGGACCCUGUGCCUCAAUCUCUAUCCUGAUGUCAUGGGAGUCCUAGCAAAGCUAUAGACUCCAGGCAAGGCUUGGGAUCCUUUAUGGAACCCCAAGAUGACUCAGCAAUAAAAUAUUUUUGGUUUUUUGGU
rnacentral:sRNA from 1 species